rfam:Plasmodiophora brassicae isolate e3 genome assembly, contig: scaffold_15
GGCCGUGUAGUGUAGGUGGUUAUCACGACAGACUCUGAAUCUGUAGACCAGGGUUCGACUCCCUGCGUGGCCU